rnacentral:rRNA from 1 species
CCUACGGGAGGCAGCAGUGGGGAAUUUUGGACAAUGGGGGCAACCCUGAUCCAGCCAUGCCGCGUGAGUGAAGAAGGCCUUCGGGUUGUAAAGCUCUUUCGGCCGGGAAGAAAUCGGUGGAUCUAAUAAAUUCACUGGAUGACGGUACCGGACUAAGAAGCACCGGCUAACUACGUGCCAGCAGCCGCGGUAAU